rnacentral:rRNA from 1 species
UACGAAGGGGGCGAGCGUUGUUCGGAUUUACUGGGCGUAAAGGGCGCGUAGGCGGCCGAUCAAGUCGGGGGUGAAAGCCUGUGGCUCAACCACAGAAUUGCCUUCGAUACUGUUUGGCUUGAGACCGGAAGAGGUUAGUGGAACUGCGAGUGUAGAGGUGAAAUUCGUAGAUAUUCGCAAGAACACCAGUGGCGAAGGCGGCUGACUGGUCCGGUUCUGACGCUGAGGCGCGAAAGCGUGGGGAGCAAACAGG